GGACUCGCUUUCUGACCGGCGCUGCCCCCCCCUUCUCCUUCACCAACCUUCUCCCCCACCACACACACCCCGAGGUGUGCACCCCCCCCUUUGCCAUCCUGACCCCCAACCCGGGGGCUGGAUGCGGGGUGGGUGUGAGGAGGAUGAUGAUGAGGAGGAUGGGGAUGGGGAAUGGGGGGGGGGGGGGGCGCAGGCACUUCUGCAGGCGCAGCCCUUUUCGCAUCAAGAGAUUGGCUAUAAGGAGAAGGCUGACGGCUGCAGCAUGAAGCGCAUUAUUACCUUGUGAUUCCAUGACCCUCCUCUAUGCAUCCCUAACUCUCGAAAGCUGAUUCAGCUUUCAGCUAGUGCUCUGGUGAGUCCUCUGCUGCAACAGAAGCUCCUAACUGGGAAUUUUACUUCCCAGGUUUUUCUGCUGGGAGCGAGCCUAGGGUGGGUCGAGGACGUUGGAUGACGUUCACCCACCACCACUUGCUCCUGGUGGUAGCUGCAGGAUGGGAACCACAGGGUGCCUCUGGCGUCACCAUUAAAAGCACCAUUACGCCAUUUAUCUGCUCCUUCCAAACCCUGGAAAGCACCAGCUUCCACGCGGAGCCUCAAGGCAAAUUGAAAUGUCCAGGAUGAACUUUUCCUGCCAGGUUUGUGGCGUUGCCUUCAGUUUUAAAAGGUCAUUUUUCUUUAGCUCUUAUAUAGUGCUCUUUUAGUGGCUGGCAGUUACUGUCCCACUCGUUGCAGAAGUUGGGGACUGAUCUUGACAGCCUAUAUCAGAUGUAUUAGAUGAAAGCAAACUGGGUAUGAGUUGCAGGUGUUUAAUGGUCCAAGAAGUCCAGUCGCUCUCCUACUGUUACCAGUCUGAAGGAAACUCAGUGCCAUGGAGUGCCUUGGCUGCACAAAACCCCCCACCAGCACUUUGAUUUUUGUUGGGUUUGGGUUUUAGUUUUGAAUCUUAAGCACUCAGACUUUCUCUCACACUCCUCAGCUCUCUCUUUGCUUUAAUUUCACUGCAGUCAUGCAUUACAAUGGUGCCACAGCUCCAUCUCUCUUCCCCUUAAUCCAAACUAAAGGUAGAAAUUUGCCUUGGAGUGAGGCAAAUAAUGAUGGUUAAAAAGGCCAACAAACUCAGGGAAUGGGGAGAGCUGCAGCGAGCCAGGACCAAAGCUUUUGCUGGUGUUGUAUGAGUGGUGUAAAGCCAUUUUGGGGGCUGAGAACAGUAGAUUUACACCCCGGCUCCGCAUGGCCUUUGCUUUUUUUGUGGUGCUAGAAGUCAGAGGGUAGCAGGGAAAUAUUUACUCCCCAUCUGGCAGUGAUAUUUUAUAAAGCAGUGGAAAAGCAUCGAUGCAAUUAGGUAUUCCAAAGUGCUUAGUUUGCCACUUGCUAAGUUUACUUAAACCCUCUUUAAAGGGUUCAUUAGAAGCCUGUGAGAAACGGUAAAAUUCAUUAACACCAAGGCAGCCAUUCCGCAUUUGCCUGUAAAUUGGCAUCGAUCGCGGCGAGGGGCGGCGGGCGCAGGUGAGCUCGCCCUGCCCGCCGUGCUGAGCGAGCAGGCAGCGAGCAGGCAGCGCCCGGCGUGACCUCCGCCGUCGCUCCCUGCCUAAAUCCUGCCUAUAAUAGUCCCCCAUUCAGCCCGGGCGGCGUUUGCAGCCCUGCCACUCGGCCCACAUUGUUCCAGGAGCUUUAAAGCUCAGCGCUGCUGCGGGGAGGCGAGGGACAGGGGGAGAGCUCAUGGCUGCGUGCAGGAUCCAGCCCCAUGGGUGCACGAGCAACCCCACAGGGCUGUGGGAAUAACUCAGAGAGACUUUGGUCCGAGCUCCCAGCACCUUGCUUCGGCUGCCUUUUCCGUUGUGCGUCUGCAGGUGUAUCCCCGAAACCCUUUAGCGUGGAGCUACCGGAGGAGUUAUUAGAAGCAUCUUAAUAUUUCUUGUUUUCCAAUAUCCUGAACUCCC